GCUCCUAAAUUUCAUGUCUAGCAUUGUAAGAAAUCUAAACACAAAUGAACUGAAAAGUUAGUCAAUAAUGGUACAAAGAGACUGCAUCUGCCUAUAUCCUAGAGUUGUCGUUCAAGUGCUACAAGUUUCAAUCCUUGCAUAACUUGACUUGAGCAAACGAUUGAUGUAGACAGUAUAACCAUGGGCAAGCAUAACCUUAACUUAUUUCUUACUGCUUAACUAAAAUUAAUCAUCUUACAUCCCCAGGAGAUUUUAUAUGCUGUGACUACUCCCCUUGUUCACUAGUAAAAAAGUCUGGCAGAAGAAAAGUAAAAGAAAAAAAAAGAAAGAGAAAACUCUAAAAAUAAAGUUACAUAGCCAGACAGAGAAUCGCUUAGCUAGGCAUCUUGCUAUUAAUUAGUAUGCUGUAAAUUUUGCUGCCUUGGCUGAUACCAAGACAUGGUAUUUAGAGGAACCAUUAAUGAAGACAAAAGAAAAACAUCUGGAGUAGCCCAGCUCCAGGAUAGACCUUAGGCUGAACUAACAUUCAUAUUGCAUUUCUCUUUCCCCAUUUGCCUACCGAAUCCAUGAAUUAAUCCAUGCCCCCCCCCAUUUUGGCAGGAUUACAUCACAAGCAUUUGACACAAAUGGCAUCGCUUUCUGAAAAGGCUGUGGAUGCCUGCUGAAGGCAACAUGCCUCCAACUGCAAUUCUGCUCUAUCAAACAGCGUUUCUCGAAAUCUUGAGUUUUAUUUCGUUUCUUCCGAAUGGAGGUCUGACCUCUUCAGCAUCUAUUGCUGACUGAGAGGGGGAGCUAGCAAGCCACUCCUGAUUAUCUGGAAUGGCUUUUGAGACUGAAGUUAGAUGUAACUUUUUUCAUACUUCCUCAACAGAAAGAACAGAGCAGGAGGCAAAGAAGUUCAGGCUGUAAACCAAGACUGUUGUUGCGAAUGGCUUUUCCCCAGAAGACAGACUCUCUCUCUCUCUCUCUCUCUCUCUCUCUCUCUCUCUCUCUCAGAAUCGCAGUUGUUGAUAACUAGCAGGUUUUAUCUCCAGGAACUAAGAUAGUUUUUCUCCUCGCUUCUGGCCUGCCAACUUGUAGACUUGUCUUCAGCUGAGGCAAGGCUGCCAGAUUCAAUACAUGGAGAAUCUACUCGACUCUAUUUAUUUUAGAGUAUGAUAAUUUGAGGGAAAAUUUAAAUUGUCAGUUUUCCAUUACACCCUGCAGCUCAGGGCUGGCUAUCUUCUCAGACCUAAAAACAUACUUCUGUGGGAAAUUAUGUAAACAGAUGGAGAAGCCAAGAAGAGAGAGGGCGGAUGUCUUGCUAGGGGCCACACAUUCUGCUCGGGGAAGAGCUAGGUACCCCGGCAUGACUGAUCUGUCUCCAGGUCUCCCUUCUUUAAUUGCCUAGAGCAUGUGGAUGGUAAGGUCCCAUAGCAAACACUGAGCAGAGUGUUUGAGCAUAUGGUGGUCAAGUAUUACAAUCUUCAGGUAGCCACAUAUUGAUCAGUGGUGAGUAGGUCCAGAGAGGCCUGGGGACUUUGAACAGUCUGAGGGCAAGGAAUCUGUUCCGUUCAUCUUUUCGGAUGUGAUACCAUGUUCUGUAUCUGGUAUAUACUCCGUAACCCAGUCUAUGGUUAAUAAACUCAGAAUACAUCCAGAUCACUGAAAAACAGUGCUAGGUAAUAUCAUUGCUCUCCUCAAAAUGCUGCAACAUCAAAGCCUUGAUAGAAUGGUUCUUGCUGCCUACAUGGUGGCUUUCCCUCUGCUUCCUGUCUACUCUUACCCCCACAUGCCUCCUCUGCCUCCUUCCUGCUACCCUCUUGGAUAACUGACCACACUGGCUUUCUUUAUAUGCCUGUACUCAUAGCUGGCAAAGGGACCCUCCUCUUUCCUCAUUACGAGAUAAUAUUCAGCUGUCACGUUUCAUGAGCCCAUACUCUAUUGACCCCUUUAAAAUUGAAAUCUGCUUUCUGUUCUCUGCCCACCCAUACUCUGAACUCCCCUAGCCUGCGUUAUUUCCUCUGCAGAGCUUAUCCCCUUUCAACUGUAAUUCCGUAUUGAAUUAUUCACUCCAUUGAUGCUCUGCCGUUGCUUUCCCCCUUACCAAUAUGUAAGCCUAUGAGGAGGAGGAUUCUUAUGGUUCUUCUUCAUUGAUCCUUCUAGCAUUUCCUCCAGUAUCAGACACAUCAAAAAUACCCUUUAAAUGACUGUUGAAUGAGUAAGUGAAUUAAGCCGAAUUUGGUGACUCAAACAAGCAGAUGAAUCCAAGGGCAGAGGAGGUGAACCUUCAAAGCUAGGCAUGACGAUGAAGGGGCCACCGGGUGUGAUAAAUUCACAGGCCAACUUUUGAUUACAUAAUAAGAAGCCUUUUGGAAAAUGAUGAAUUUGGCCAAUGUCUAGUGUCGAGACUAUAGACUUCUAGCCUGAGAUUGUCAAGCUGACUUGUUAACUGUGUUGUUCAGCCUCUGGUGAAUUCAGACAAAGACCACGAUGUGUGGGUUGGUGUUUCCCCCCACCAGUGACCUUCCUCCAUUAGCAGUACUUGUUAAGAAAUCUGGUUCCCAAGCUCUAUCUGGCUUCUAAUGGUUACUAAGGAGUAAAUCCCCCAGUGGUUUGAACUCAUGCCAAAAUUCAGGGGUGAGGAGUAUUAUGAAACCUCCUGAAAAGGUGGGGUGUAGCAGAACAGGACUUUCCCUAUGCUGGUGCCAAGAUUUUGCAGGAAGUUCCUAAGAAAGUGCUCUGUUAAUUAACUAAAGAAACACUGAGUAAGAUUGUUUUGGUGACAGUAAUUUCCAGAACCUUUAAAAGGCUGAUGUCAUCCUGAGUUUCCAGGAGUGGGGCACGCGGUAGGCAUCAUCUCAAACACUCUACCAUGGGCAGCUCUUCAGGUUCCUCUUAGCUGUGGCAAAGAAGUUCUUUGCUUUGUUUUAUAUUUAGAGAAAAAACCUGUAAGAGCUAAUCCAUAUUCUAGGUCCCUACAAUUCUGUUUUCUCUCAUUCAUUUCCCCUUAGCUAAUAAUGUAACGAGUCCUCCACAACCCUGAGGAAGAAACAAGGAAUAGGAUUCCUGUGCAUCAUAAUUCCUGGUGUGCAAAACUGAAAAAGAGAAAAGUUUCUUGGUGUGUGUGUGUAGUCCAGAAUAUGUUACAAAGAAGCCAAUAUAUAGUGUACCUAAACAAGGUUGCUUGCUAAAGCAAAAUUUGGUGGGUUUGUGAGAAUUCUGUCUUCUGUAUGAAGCCUUAUGAAUCAGUAGGACGCACACACAUAAAUAUCUCACUGGUGCAAGCGCUCCUGCUCCCUGAUUCUCCCAUAUUGAUCACCACUAAUCUAUCCCUUACGUCGCUUUCCAUUCCUGUGGAAAUAAGAUAGGUAUGUGCCUGGAAUAAAUAGCUUUCUCCGCAUUUGGAAGCCGUGCAGGGUCUAGAGCACAUUACAACCUCCCCUAUAACGGAAGUACUCACGCGCUGGCAACUGCUGUCUACAGACGUAAUGAACCAAGUGGGAGGUAAUGAGAAGUGACUGUCACGCCAUCUCUGGGGCCCAGUUUCUCCUGCUGCACAAUUACACUGUGACCCCAGAGAAACUGAGAAGAGUACAACAUUCUCUCCUUUUCUAAAGAUCUUAAAACCAGCCUCAGCUUGUGGGAUGCGUGCGGAAGGGUGCAAGCGGCAGCAUUAUCCACUUGGUAGUCCAGAGGCUGUCCGGGGAACGUUUGCUUGCAGUGCGAGAGGCAGCUGUCCAUAUACUCCAGCUUUUCUCCCAUUGUGGGCUUGGUCUCUAGCUGGAAUGACGCCAGCUAACGGGACGGUCCUUUCCUACUUUCCCUGGUGCGGAAAGACGUCCAAAGGGAGACGGUCACUUCUUCCACAAGUGGAGAAUGCACGAGGGAAAGUGUUACACAGAGCCACAUUUAUGCUCCAGGGAUAUGUGUUUCAGCUUUAAAAGGCAGGACAAGCUUUUAAAAAUAAGUGUAGCGAGAGCAGUUGCUGGGCCCCACACAGCCCCAGUCCCAUCUCUGUACUUUAUUUCAGGGAGAAUCUUGAUUACCAUGCUGUUGAGUGAUCCUUCAAGGGGCGGGGGAGAGUGGCAAGGCUGAGGAAAAAGGUAGAGGGGCGCCUGCUGAGUCAACUUCUCCUGAGAGACCCCGCGAAGAAAGUGCAAAAAGGUGGAAGGCUUUUAAAAUUCCUCCCAUUGUCUUCCUUCUGCUCAGGCCUGCCCACGCUCUGGGGGAAGCCUGCCAACUGCUCACUGAACGGUGAAUGGAGACAAGCUGGGCUGCUUGUACUGCUCAGCGAGGGAAGAAUAGCGGUGUGGCUGACUGCUGGCUGGACCCGCGGCACUCUCUUCUCUUCUGUGCCUCUGCCAGCAGGAAGCCCCCAGGUGGCAUGGGGGAGAAUUAGUGUGCAAAUUACAGGAUCUGCUAAUUUCUCACCACUUCAUCCGUUGACAGUUCCACAGAGUUCUGCUGCCUUUCACCUCACAUCUGAGAUAAGGGCCCCUCCUCUCAACAGGGGAAGCAGAGUUCCACAGGGUUGUACUGACUGGCUUGUGAAACUUCGUUUUCCCUGACUCCUAUCUCAGUGUACAUGAGUGUAUUUUCCACCUCCUUGAUAGCGGUUCUGUCCGUCCUUGGAUAUUCCUAUCACACCUACCUCAGAUCAUCUUUUACCACAGGCUUGCUAUGUUGUUAGCAGAAAGAGGUAGAAACCGAUCCUUUUCAUAGCAAGUUCCAAAGAUUUGCCAUAAAACAGGAAGACGAAAACAAAAUAGUUAAGUGGAAUCUCUUUCUCCCCUUUGCUUACCGAUCGACUGUACUUCUUGAGAAGUUUCUAUGUGACAAAUAAUAUUCUUGGCAGGUUUCAUUAAAACUUGUCAUUUUUAUUUUCUGGAGAAGGGAACUGAGGCACAGGGUGGCCAGAAAACAGGAAGUAGACCUGAGUCCAUACUUUAUGUACUAGGGCACUGUGCUUUACAUAACUAGCCUUAGUUAUCGUUGGAUUCAUUCAAUAAAUAGCACAGAAACACCACCACCUUAAGGCCACUUUCUUUGCCAGAGUUCCUUACCCCGUGAGUCCUGUGACUUCCUGACUCUUAUACACGUGAUGCAAACGUAAGAGCAUCUUCGUCAGGAAACAAUACACAUGGUUCCCAGGGGACUGAGUUCUCUCCAUAAGGGACCAGAUAGUAACAUAUUUGCAUGUCCCAUGGUCUUUGCCUGAGUGAGGCAGAAAGUAUCCACAAACAGCACGUGAUGGAAUCAUUGUGUCUGUGUGCAAUUGCAGUGAUGGGCAGUGGGUUGUAACUGGUCCAUGGGCUGUCUGCUACAGAGGAAGAAAGAAGUCAAACUGGUGACUGCACAUGGCCUCGGUGGUGCCUUAUGUUCGUGUCUAUGAGAUUUUCUACAGAGAAGUAGUGAGGAGAAUAAGACAGAAGAGAGCCAGAGGGCCGUGACGAAGCCCGAACCGACUUUCCUCCGGGUCAGGUCUCUGAUGAUGUCCACUGUUUCCCUCUGUCUGUUCUUCUUUUCUAGAAUCACACCCUGACAUUUCGGCUUCUAUUGUUCCUGUUUCCGUUUGAGUACAAACCCAACUGUGCUUUCCCUUUUCAUCACAAUACAACCUGGAGAAUUGUGCUACAGGUGUAAGGCAUAUUCUAGAAAUUUGAGUCUGUGGUACUAACCAAAUGCCCUCAUUCAUUCAUUCAUUCAUUCAUUCAUUCAUUCGGCUCCCGUGUUGGAUGGGCGGUGUGUGCCGGUGGUUAUUCUGUGCGUUGCAAACUUAUGUGGAAUGAAGAUUUGGUUUAUAUCUCUACUUCCCAUUUUCCCUGGGUUGCUACACGUCUAGGCAUUCUGUAAAAAACCCAAUAUAAAUGCUAUUUUAUCCAUAAAACCUGCAGUUACAUACUCAUAAAAGUGUUCCCAUGGUCCUUUACAUUCCCAUGACAGUACUGCUUCUGUCUCUAUUUGGUUAUUUCCCUGUGUGAUGGUAUAUUAUACGGUCUAGAAUGUGGGUUUGAGGAGGAAGGUGACGGUGCCAUUUUAAUCUCUCCUUGCUCUCAAGCUCCAGGUUGCUCUGUUCAACAGGCUCCUUUCUGGCCACAUCUUAUCCGGGCUGCCCAUCAGUUAUUGCAGACCCCUUGCCAUGCCUUGUCUUGGUACGUCUUGUCGUUUCUAGAUCUUUUCGGCCAUCUCCUUCCACAGAAUUAUUACUGAGCUCCUGCUAGGAGGCUUACAUUCCUUAGCUUGAUCUAGAAAAUGAUUAUAUUUUAUACUGAGCCAGGCCUUAAUUAAUCUAUUUAAUAAAUAAGUGAAAAUCUAGAAGGAACAUGUUCUUACCACCUCUAUAGUAAGUUUGGGAUGAGAACAUAAACGCUGAGAGCCACUUCUGGCAUUCGCUGAACUGUGGAGUGGCACAGAAAUGUAGACCUGGCAACUGGGCUGCCAGCAUGAGGUAAUGCAAACUUCCUCUGGCCACUCAGACCUUCUGCUUCUGCACUCCCGUUGGUACAGCAGCCCCCACCCACACCUCUCCUAAGCUAGGGGAGAAAAGGAAAAACACAACUCCAAACUCAAGUUAGAUCAGGAAGUUGUGUGGCAAUUUCUGGAAUGUCAAGAAUAAAAAUAAGAAAGCAAGAAUUAAUCCUGCUAGCCUCGAAUGAGAAGCUGUCACCACGAAAGCUGUAACUUUCUAAAUGAAUCUAACACCUCUGAAAAGUCCUACAACUGCGCCAAGUAUUUACAUGUUCUCUUAGAAUGUGGCAUCUACAGCGAGUGGUUUUGGUCGUGAAGCACACCAUCUGCGUGAUUACCCAGCCCUUGCGAAGAGUACUCUGAACUCAGCAGUUGUACAACAGACGCAUUUAAAAUAUACAGCAUUCCCACUCCCAUAGUUCAGGACGGGUGUUAGAAAACAACCAGCCUCCUUGAGAACUCAGACUGCAUCUGACAUUCUUCCAGGCACCUUUCUGCCAUCCUGCAUGUAGUUCUGGAAGAUAGCUUUAUCGUAAUAGAUUCACAGACCGCUGCAGAGCAGGUCAGCCUAACCCUGGGCCAACAUCAGCUGCAGUCACAGUCAUUAGUGAAGUCAAUGAAUGUGAGAAGUGAAAUCAGAUCACUCAGCUCUCAUCCAAGAAGAGGUCUGUGUCAUCUGAGGAAAAACACACCCAUAGGAGUCAAAGGGUGAAUACUCCAGAGAAGGGAGUAAAAGGACUUUCACUAAUUCAGCCUUACCCCCCACAUAGGUCUCUUGAAAAAUAACUUUAGGCUGUAGUUGCUGAUAAAGUGCCAGAGUCAAGAUUGAAAUAUUAGGAAGCUACUUUUGCAGUGACGUUGGUGACUCAGACCCACAGCUGUGAAAGAGGAGCAUAGAAGGGCUCUGUGACAAGUCCUGCUCCCCUGCCCUGCUAAAGUCACAGCCUAGACAUCAAGCCUUCAAAAGGAACUCUUUACAAGGUCUAAAGACGAGCAGAGGAUUCUGUAUACACACAUGCUGAUGCAGUAACUAUAAUACAGAUGAGUCGAAACAACAGAAAGACACAUCGGACCAAAGAGAGCAUGGCAGACCUUCCUUCAGAAGAUUCUCUACUUGGUCUUAUUUUUCCAAUAAAGAGCAGUGGUCGGGAUUUUGAUGCUCCAAACUAUGACACCACUGAAUAAAGGUGGAAGGAAGACCUCUUUGCUGGGACAACUCAUCAGCCUAAGAAUUCUGUCACACACUUUACCCUGUUUAAGGCUGGAGUCUGCCAAGUUUCCUCCCAAGUACUCAUCAAAGAAGUCCCUCAAAUAACGCCAAGGUUAUAAUAAUGUGCUGUAGUUAAAGUGACAAUAAAGAAGAAGUAAAAGUGAAAAGCAGUGAAUCACUUGUGACCACCAUCACCCAGAUGAGAAGAGAAUGGAGUUUGAACAUUUGCAGUUGACAGCGCACAUGUUCAGAACACCAAAUGGAACCCGGCUAAAAGAUCUGGACGUGUCUGCUGAUGGCUUCCUGGUCUUGGCUGAGCUUUGAAGACCCCCAAGCAGGUCAGUCAACAGCGCCUGCGCAGGGCCUCAGCUGACGAACCGAAGCAGCUUCUGUGUGGAUUCUCUUAUCCUGGAGUCUUGUUCUGGGGUGUGGGGUCUCAGAUCCAGCUCCCACCAGCAACACAGAGCAAGUGUUUUAGCAGAUGGAUGGAAUUACGUGGUUGGAAAUUGUGUGACUUCUACACUUGGUCCCUUGGCCAGGUAUUAUUCUUCUAGGAAUUCUUAAGAGGAAGCCUUCAGCAGCCUAGGGCAGCCUCAGUAGUACUCAACCUUUGGGUUCUGACCCCUUGGGACUAAAUGAAUUUUUCAUGGUUAUCGCAAAUCAGAUAUAGUGCCUAUGGGAUGUUUACAUUAACAAUUCAUAAGAGUAGCAAAACUACAGUUAAGAAGUAUCAACAAAAUAAUUUUACGGAUGGGAUCACCACAACAUGAACAACUGUCUUAAAAGGUUGUAGCAUUAGGAAGGCUGAGAACCAUCUCUCUAGCUGCUCUAUUCAAUUUGGAGAGUAGCUGGUGGAGACUGUCCUCAGUAGGAUUGAGAUCCUGGGGUGCUAUGUAAAGUACCAAUACCAACAAAAUAAUUAAAGCGUUAAGAGAGUUCCAAGAUUAUACUUCAUUGAAAAAACGAUUGUUUGGGGACCAAUGUAUAAUGGGUAUAUGGAAUAAGAGGGAAUGUUUAAAUUAGAACUUGAUUUUGGAUGGUGACUGCCCAAUAUUUGAAUCAAGGAUAGUGACUGAAACUCCGUUAGGAAAAACAAACACCCGCAAAACCAAGCUAAAACAAAAACAAAAAACAGGAGGGUAUAGCAUUGGGAGCUUUAAUUGUGUUGCAUUUAUGAAAUAUUUUGAAGAAAUGUCUGUAACUAAUAAACUACUUUGAUAUUGGCAUUGUGACAGAAAAUUUCAAAACACCCCCUAAGGUAUAGAUGAGGGUGGCUUUCCAGGAAGGUUUGCGGAGGGGAAAACGCUGCAGUUCUCCACAUUUCCAGCAGGGGUCAGUAUGUUUUCAUCAUUACACACGGGGAGCUCUCAGGAAGCAGCCACAGUGUUGAUCCUAAUUGGAGCAGACGCAAGGAUCUUCUAUAAUCCACUGACAUCCUUUUCAAAUAAUAAUUCUUAGGUGGGUGGUGGGCUGGUGGCUGCAGUGCCAGAGCGAGGCUUCUCCACAAUGAAGCCUAACCAUUGUCAAUUAUUUUUGAUGUAUGCUAGCUUAACUUAAGUCUCCGUCUGACUGGCGUUUCCAACCCACAGAAGGGUAUUCCUCCUCCUAAUUAUGGAGACACAGUGCCAGGAUGGUCAGAACCAGUGUGCUAUUUUGGCUUAAUGUGCUCUCCAAAACGCGUUCCCCCUUCCCAGCCUCCUUGUGCUCUUCCCACUCAGCACAAAGACAAGCAUAUGCUUUCAGUCAAGAAUCUUAGGAAUGGUUUACUUAUAACCUUAAUUGCUGAGGCCAUUGACUUUAACUCAUUACAUGCCAGUCCUGGGAAGCAGUUAGAGACGUCCUGCGUACCUAUGAUUAUAGUUGUGUGAAUAUAUCUCCCAACAGUUUGGUAAUCACAACUAAAUCUCCCUAAGUCUGUCCACUUUCUAAUAAUUUGUUUAGGAGCUCUGCCAGCUGUGCUGUGUAUUAAGGGAACAAAUUGUCACCCUUUGUGUGCAUUUUAAAGACUCUUGGUUGCCUUGAGUCUCAAAUUGUCAAUUGGAAGACAUUCUUUGAGAGGAAAAAAAAAAACCAAACUCCCCUCCCCCACAACCACCACCAGACACACAGCACGUUCAAUUUUUUUCUCUCUCCUUGGCCCUGGAUUCAGCCCUUUCUGGUGAUCAGGGGAGUGAAUGUCUCCAUGUAGAGACAUUUGCAGAAAUCUGAUUCUGGAGAGCCAGGAGUGUAGAGCAAGAAUAUAUUACCAGGACACCGGAGAAGACUGUUAACUGCUUAUGCGCUGCGCCUGCCUGAAGGGCGAGCCACUCACCUGGCAGUGCACCUCUUCUGGCCUCAGGCUCGGUGAAAGCAGGGCUUUUACCCUGAGGCCUUCACACCUCUCUCUAGGUGGGGGCUGGAGAAUGCUGCUUGGAAGAUGAAAUACAAGCUGGAAAGAAAGCUACCGGGAACACAGCAGACCAGUGGCAUUUAGAACUCGCACAAGCUAUGUAAGAGUCAGGAGAAAUUUCCACUUCGAGGAGAGGUUGCUGGGUUCCUAAAAAGAUUGGUUUUUGUUUGUUUUUGUUUUGUUUGUUGUUUUUUUUUUUCACAUACCAAACUGGCACAUGCUUUUUAUACAUGUGGGCGCAUUUUACACAACUAAAGCUAUUGUUCCUCUUACUGUCGAUGAUUACCAAUAUCCUUUAAAGUUCACGUUGCGAUAGUUAAGCAAAGCAGGCUCUUUGAUAAGAUUCUUUGAUGAGACCACUCUACUUCCAGUUUUUCAAAUCCAUGUUUACAAAAACAAAUGAACAAACAGACAAAACAUAAGAGCAAGCCUCAAAGUUAGGUCGAGGUAUAAGAUUUGCAGGGCACAAGUUGCUAAAAAAGGUCAAUGUUAAUUUCAUGGGAGGUCUUACCUGAUAGGCACUCUGAGUCUUAUGGGGAGUCAGGAGAAGCUGAAGAGAAUUUUGGGCUCAUGCUUGGCGGAUGCCAAAAGACAGAUUAAUUUACCGAUUUUUAAAAAGGGGUAUCAUUUCCAUGAGUAUAAAAGUAGUUCACCACAUAAGAAUGCAUCUCUUAAAAAUAAGCAUUUAUUUAUUUGCUUCCUUAGCCUACUAUAACGCCAGAAUCUGCUACCAGAAUGGGACCGAAUUGAUGAAUAAAACAGGAACGGGCUGUAUUCCCAUGAAGGUUACACGCUGCUUGCUAAAAUAUACAUGCUUUGAAAAGUAUGUAUGUUCUAAAAAAAAAAUCCCCAGUAUAUUUUUAUUUCCUUACUUCACACGUUUGCUUCUUCAUAUUUAAAAUGUAGGCUGAGAUACUCCUUGCGUUCUUUAAAGGUGGAGGAAAAAAAGAACUCCAGGGUGAACGACAGAAUUUUGGUGGCUGUGGAAUAGCUUCAAAGUCUUAAUUGGGAGCAGGGUAGAUAUGAACUGGUUUACAAAUAAUUGACAGAUUGAGAUGCUUCUUAGAAAGUUCACUCAUUCAUAAAAUGAAACAAUAUGCCUCUGGAGUAGCUGACUCUAGAGUUCAAGGUUGCCUUUCCCCUCCACAGGAGGCUGCAGUAACUCAACAUGGCAAGGGCUUGUUCUCACAGUAAGGUUUCCGCAGAGCCAAAGGGCCUCUGCCCUUAGAGUCCUGAUCUCACAAUUUAGGAACGGUGAGAGGAAGCAGCUUCCCAAUUAUCUUUUAAGACUCGAGUGGAUUUUAAUUCUAUCCACUGGGUUUCCUGUUAAAUAUGAAAAGCAACGUUAAAAGACAGUGUUCUUUAAAUUUGUUUAUUCAAACACAUCUCCUCAAAGUUCAAAGAAUGGCUGUCUGCCUUUAAUUUAAAAACUAACACAAUUUGUAAAGUUUAAAUUAAACCCAAUGCUUGAAGCCACACUAAUUCUUUGCUUAUUGCCAGGGUGAUCCAGUUUUCAAGGCACCAGGAAGCCAGUAUCUUCUAUCAGUAUAGUUGGGUGUCUAUCCUAGGCUCUGUGGAACGGUUACGGUGUUCCUUUAGAAGCUCAAUUUUGAUUUUUUUUAACUUUCUCUCACUUAGGAAAACAUCAUCAACAAUGACAAUAACAAACCCUGCAGGAUCAAAGCGACAAACGAAGAGACUUGAUAUGCCAUGGUGGGGGAUA
rnacentral:sRNA from 1 species